rnacentral:sRNA from 1 species
UUAGUGGUGUUAGGUAACGUAAUGUU